rnacentral:rRNA from 1 species
GUGCCAGCCGCCGCGGUAAUACGUAGGUGGCAAGCGUUGUCCGGAAUCAUUGGGCGUAAAGCGCGCGUAGGCGGCUUGUCAGGUCUGAUGUGAAAUCUUGAGGCUCAACCUUAAGCGUGCAUCGGAAACCGGCUUGCUAGAGUCUGGGAGAGGAGAGUGGAAUUCCUGGUGUAGCGGUGAAAUGCGUAGAUAUCAGGAGGAACACCGGUUGCGAAGGCGGCUCUCUGGAACAGUACUGACGCUGAGGCGCGAAAGCUAGGGGAGCGAACAGGAUUAGAAACCCUAGUAGUCC